GUUAAUGUGGGGACGGGAGGCGUGGUAAUACAGGGGUGUGAGAUGUUGUUCGGAUUCGUUGGGCGGAAAGGGUGCGUAGGUGGCGCCGGAAGUCAGGGGUGAAAUUUCGGAGCUUAACUCCUAAACUGCAUUUGAUACUGCGGGGCUUGAGGACUGGAGAGGAGACUGGAAUGUACGGUGUAGCAGUGAAAUGCGUAGAGAUCGUAAGGAAGACCAGUGGCGAAGGCGGGUCUCUGGACAGUUCCUGACACUGAGGCACGAAGGCCAGGGGAGCAAACGGGAUUAGAUACCCCAGUAGUC
rnacentral:rRNA from 1 species